rnacentral:rRNA from 1 species
GAAUUCGCCCUUGUUUGAUCAUGGCUCAGGAUGAACGCUGGCGGCGUGCUUAACACAUGCAAGUCGAACGGGAAACAUUUCAUUGAAGCUUCGGCAGAUUUGGUCUGUUUCUAGUGGCGGACGGGUGAGUAACGCGUGGGUAACCUGCCUUAUACUGGGGGAUAACAGUCAGAAAUGGCUGCUAAUACCGCAUAAGCGCACAGGACCGCAUGGUCCAGUGUGAAAAACUCCGGUGGUAUAAGAUGGACCCGCGUUGGAUUAGCUAGUUGGCAGGGCAGCGGCCUACCAAGGCGACGAUCCAUAGCCGGCCUGAGAGGGUGAACGGCCACAUUGGGACUGAGACACGGCCCAGACUCCUACGGGAGGCAGCAGUGGGGAAUAUUGCACAAUGGGGGAAACCCUGAUGCAGCGACGCCGCGUGAAGGAAGAAGUAUCUCGGUAUGUAAACUUCUAUCAGCAGGGAAGAUAAUGACGGUACCUGACUAAGAAGCCCCGGCUAACUACGUGCCAGCAGCCGCGGUAAUACGUAGGGGGCGAGCGUUAUCCGGAUUUACUGGGUGUAAAGGGAGCGUAGACGGCGCAGCAAGUCUGAUGUGAAAGGCGGGGGCUUAACCCCCGGACUGCAUUGGAAACU